GCUAUUGGAACCCUAAAGGCCAGCAGUUCAACAAGAUAUCUACAAUCAGUCAAAGGAACAUGGAAACAAUACUUGAUUGAUCAUUAUAAGCCAGUUUUCAGCUCUGGGUACUCACCAGGUUCCUCCCUGACCCCCUCAGGGGAACUCAGGAGAUCAAGUGAUGGCAGCAGAGCUCCUGCCAGUUGGGCCCCAGGUCCCAGACUGCGCACUGCAACAGAGAGCACUCACUGAAGAAACGAAGAUGGACAUGAAAUCCCUGGGCAAGGGCCUGGAGUCACCGCCUGCUCUACCCUGUAGCAGUGAUGCCUCACUGGGUACCCAGCCUGGAUCGACGCACCCUGAGCCCCUGCUUCCUUUCCGUGGUCUCCAACCAGAUUGUGAAACCAACACUGAGUUCAAGUUGUUGACAGUUAAAGAAGAAAUAUUUGAAGAGGAAGACUCUCAGGUGGUAAUAUUAGAAAGACUUAUAGGGGAUGUUCCUCAAGGACCUGAAUUUGGAGAAGGGUGUGAACAUGAGGAAGGAUUAGCACAACAUUGGGGUAUUUCUGAAGGAGAUGGGCUAAUAAAAUCACUUUCUCAGGAGAGGAGUUUCA
rnacentral:lncRNA from 1 species